UACGUAGGGGGCAAGCGUUGUCCGGAAUCAUUGGGCGUAAAGAGCGUGUAGGCGGCCCUAUAAGUCCGCUGUGAAAGCUCGAGGCUCAACUUCGAGCUGUCGGUGGAAACUUUCGGGCUAGAGUCCGGAAGAGGAGAAUGGAAUUCCUGGUGUAGCGGUGAAAUGCGCAGAUAUCAGGAAGAACACCCGUGGCGAAGGCGGUUCUCUGGGACGGUACUGACGCUGAGACGCGAAAGCGUGGGGAGCGAACAGG
rnacentral:rRNA from 1 species